rnacentral:misc_RNA from 1 species
GUGAAUCAUCGAAUUUUUGAACGCAUAUUGCACUCUCUGGUAUUCCGGAGAGUAUGCCUAUUUGAGGGUCAUUUGAAAUAAUAUAAAUUCCAAGAUUUCUCGGAAUUUAAAAUGGGUGUUCAUUUUUUGUGGUUGCCUAAAAUCCAAGACAAGCCCAUUUUUUUGGGUUUCGGGAUACUUUUAGUUUACUC